GCCUUGAGGUGGAGUACUGCGAGGCUGGGGUGACAGACACGUUCUACAUCUUGUGGUAGAAGGGUGUACCAGGCCUCCGUGGCCACUUGCUGGAGGUCCUGCUGUCCUACCUCACCCCAUCCCAGGAAAGGAGCUGCGAAGGCAAAAGCAAAAUAAGAGGAAUAUUUGACUUCACUCCACAAGAGACCUAUUUAAUAGUUUGGCGG